GCGCCGGGAGCACGGACGGUCAGUGCAGCACUCUUAAUAAGGUGACGGUAGCGGGUUCAAAUCCCGUCCGGCGCACCA
rnacentral:tRNA from 2 species